rnacentral:tRNA from 1 species
GGGGGCGUAGCUCAGUCGGCAGAGCCACGGCCUGUUAAUCCGGUGGUUGUGGGUUCGAGUCCCACCGCCCUGCCCG